AGUGAACGCUGGCGGUAGGCCUAACACAUGCAAGUCGAGCGGCAGCACAGUAAGAGCUUGCUCUUACGGGUGGCGAGUGGCGGACGGGUGAGGAAUACAUCGGAAUCUACUUUUUCUUGGGGGAUAACGUAGGGAAACUUACGCUAAUACCGCAUACGAUCUACGGGUGAAAGCAGGGGAUCUUCGGACCUUGCGCGAUUGAAUGAGCCGAUGCCGGAUUAGGUAGUUGGCGGGGUAAAGGCCCACCCAGGCGACGAACCGUAGCUGGUCUGAGAGGAUGAUCAGCCACACUGGAACUGAGACACGGUCCAGACUCCUACGGGAGGCAGCAGUGGGGAAUAUUGGACAAUGGGCGCAAGCCUGAUCCAGCCAUACCGCGUGGGUGAAGAAGGCCUUCGGGUUGUAAAACCCUUUUGUUGGGAAAGAAAAGCAGCAGGUUAAUACCCCGCUGUUCUGACGGUACCCAAAGAAUAAGCACCGGCUAACUUCGUG
rnacentral:rRNA from 1 species